CCCUCUUUCACCAGUUAAACCAUCAAUCCCCAAACUCCUAGAGCAGAGUUCCCAGUUUUGUGUCUGGAGGGCACAGAAAUACUUAUUCAGAAGCUGGUUUUUUUCUUUAAACCCGGCUACAAACCCCACAGGAGCCUGUCCCUCGCCCACCUCUAGAGAUGGCAAUUUUAAAUUUCAUUUUUAAAAAAACCUGACUUGUGUUACCAGGCUGGUUUGGUUUUAACCUUCAUUGAUUGCAAAGCGCGAUAUUGCGCCUUUGAAACGCAGAGUGGAGUCAUACCACCCCCUAAAAAUCAGAAUUACAAAAGCAGGUUUAGCAGUUUCAAGCAGUUCUCCCCAAAAUCAAAUCAUAGAAUGGUUGGGGUUGGAAGGCACCUUAAAGAUCAUCCAGUUCCAACCCCCUGCCCCGGGCAGGGACACCUCCCACCAGCCCAGGUUGCUCCAAGCCCCCUCCAACCUGCCCUUGAGCCCCUCCAGAAUUAAACCAGAGACAUAUAAUUUUAUUUUUUUUCCUGCCUCCACAAAGUUUUGACUUCAACCGACUCCUAUUUGGUAUCUUUGUAUCAGUGCCCACCCCAGCAGUGCUGCCUGUUGCCAUGAGGACAUUUCUCACCGGGUACAACGAAACAUGGAGGAAAAACACUCCUGGAAGACAGGCCUCCGUGCAGAGUUUCUAAGGAAAGGCAGAAUUCCCAGCAGGGAAGUGCCGGAGAUCCCCCUCCCUGUGGGAUGGCCCGGACCACGCUGCCCAAGUUUCUUCUACCCCGUGGAGUUAGGAAGGGUGAGGAGUGAUGUCCCGAUGCAGGUGGAGAACAAGCACCUGUUUGGCCAAUGGACCCAGGGCAGUUUUACGUCUCGGAGUCGCUGGAUCCUGAUUUCCUUGGAAUAAAAUCCCCUGAAGUGAGGUGGGUUCACCCAGGUUUGCACCCAAAGGGGGGGACAGCGUCCUUGGCGCGCUCCUCCUGGCCCCCCUCCCUUCUUGUCACUAGAGGCAGAGAUCAAUCGUCGCAGCAUCUUCACUCCUACCCAAUUUAAUGCUAAUUAUGAUAAAGACAAAGCUAUUUCAAGACAGUAACGGACCUUUACAUGAUGCCAGAGUAUUAGCUACACGUCCUGUAGUCCACAACCAACCAAAACUCAUGGAUUUUUCCAAGAUCAUAGUGUUCUGAGCGUUUCCAGUUUGUCUUGCUUAGACCUCUGAAUAAAAUAGAACAUCUUGUGUCUUACA
rnacentral:lncRNA from 1 species